CGGGGCGUAGCGCAGUUUGGUAGCGCGCAUGGUUCGGGUCCAUGAGGUCGGCAGUUCGAAUCUGCCCGCCCCGA
rnacentral:tRNA from 2 species